GUGAGAAAAUACUACUCCUGCGUCUCCCUCGCAUCGACAGAAAAAUGACCUCCCACAUCUGUUGCCUGCCGCUCGCUUGAUCCUGCGAGCUCUCCCGGCGAUCGACCUUCCGCAUGCUGCCCACCUCCGACGAUCUCCUAAACGGAACCCAUACCACACCCCAGUGCUAACCCUUGCCCGCCCUCAAGCUGAUUGCGCCGUCAUCCGCGCCCUCGCCCGCCCUCGCGCGCGCCCCGUCCACCCUCGUGUUGGUCGCGCCGUCGUCCGCGUCCUCGCGCUAGCCCCGUCCGAUCGAUCGCAGGCAGCGCGACGCGUCGAUUGGGAGACGGCUGCCCGUGCAGGUCUGCCUUCGAUCGGCAUACUUUCGAGGAAAACAGAUCGAGUCCAGGCGCCUCUCCCAUCUUAUUGCCUGAACCAGUCCAGAUCACCUGGUGAUUGCCUGGAUGAGCGCACCCUUCUCCGACGGGUCGCGGCAAGUUUGCGAGGCUAGCUGCCAGCUCCAAUUGGAUCAAUAAGGUAUGCCAAAUCUGAUCUGGAAUGCACAUCGUGGAAACUGAAAUUUCUAGGGCAGCAGGAGAUUGUUUCUGUGGUGUUUCCUGAGUUUGCGGCACCGACGUGAUCUGCUGUUCCCAAAGUGUUGCUUGCAUGACUGUAUGAACGAAUUGGAAUUGGAUUUCUUAACGUUAUGUUUCUAUUUCUGAUCCAUGCUAAGUUUCUGUUUUUGAUCCAUGUCUCCAAGAAUGAGUGCCUCUUGUAUCCCAGUUAGAGUAAUGGCGUUGCCUGAUUUCUUUGUCAUGAGUCUAUGUCUCUAUCAGUUCCUUUUCUCUCUACGAUAGCUAAUUUUUCUCACUACAAUGCCUGAGUACGCAUGCCUAAUGGCCAUUACAGUUUGUAGACCAUAAAAGUAGCCGACUGAUUUACUGCAUCUCGAGGCUUAACCUUGUUUCUUUACAUGGCCAGGGGACUUAUUAUUCUUUUUAGUCAUAAGCCAUGUUUAUUUGUGCCAUUUUUUCAUUAGGUGAUCUCUCAAUGUGUCUCCACAGUAGUUUUUUUCUCAUUCACCUGAGUUAUAUACGGAUUUGAUAAAUAUAUGUUUAGUGGAGAUCGUAUUAUUCAAAAUGCAAGACUGGUUUCAAAUUUUUUCCUAAGCGGUAGAAAAUGGUCUUCAUUGCUGUUGCUACAGUAGGGCUAAGCCUUCAUGCUCUGUGAUCGUUGAUCAACUGCGUAGAGUCCAUUACCUUGAACACCAUUAUCCUGCUUGAGUAGCCCCAUCCAUGCAGUAAAUAUUUUUUUUCCUGAUAUUGGAUUGUUCACAAUCUUUAUUGUUUCCAGUACCCGAGCCAUUUUGGGUUGAGAAUUGAGUGCAGGACAAAGUAGUUGGGUGCUGAACCAGUAGUUCAGUACAAGUGCAUUAGAUAUUCAGCAAGAAAUGGCUGCACAACGAGGGGUGGAUCGAUCAUAUUACAUUUAGGUGUAUGGACGAAAUUUUACAAGCAGAAGUCUUAGCUUACACAUGCAUCCGUUGUUAUGGAAGAAGCCAUCAGUGUGAGUUCAGCUUUUAUAUUUUUAGUUAAUAUUACAUAUAGGAAUCAUGCAUUUGAUUCUUAAUCACUUCAUGUGUUUAAGUUCAGUUUCCAACCAAUUAUUUUGCAUUUAGUGCAGUUUAGAAAGUUGGCAAUCUUGUUCUGAAUCUUCUUUUCUUUUUGCAAUUGGUGGCAACUGUAAAUAUGCAAAAUGUUUUCAGUCAAACGGGCAAUUUCACCUGAACUGACAUUCUAAAAUUAUCCUAAGUGUAAGGACUUUUUGCAAUUAUUGGAAGCCAUGCAAAAAUUUAUAAUAUAUCAAUUCAAUUAUUUUGCAUGUGGCCCUAUAGGUUUAUUUUGCAUGUGGAGGAUGAUUGCAUGAUGGAUGGUUAGGUUUGUCCUAUCUUAAUGCCUUGGACAUGAUCCUAGCUUUAGAAUCUUUGUUGUUUACAUAUGUGAGAGAACUUGGGUUCAUGGUUCAUCUUCUAUUCACCACAAGAUCAUCUCGACUGUUUCAAUUUUGAUUGUCAUUUUUCAUCACAUCCUCUCUUUUUUUUUGGCUUAACCACAUGACAUAGAAUUUUAAUGGUUGAGUGAUGGAUGUAAUAUUUAGGUUGUUGCAGCUUGGAGCAGAGGUGCAGAUCAUGCAGCUGCAUGGUGACCACAAUUCAUUUUAGGCAACCACUCUCAUACAUCUCUGGUAGAUGCAGAUAUGUAACAAGAAUUAAGUUUUGUUUGUGCUUAAUUUCUGUUUCUCUAUUUAUGCUUCCCUGUUUCCUCGUGCAACUUUCAACGGCUCGUGGCUCACCUGCCUGACUCGACGGCUCCCGCCGAAGACUCACGCGGAUCAGCUAGAUAAAGUAUAUGCAUCACAUGAAUGAUGGGAUCAGCAAGGGAUAGAGAUGGAUGGACAAAAGCUGCAGUCAGGUAUUCAAUCUCCGUUUUCUAUCUUGUCAAAUCUGAAAACAGUUUCUUUGCGGUAACUAUUUCACUGAUACUGUGACACAUAGUGCAGUUUGCCACUAGACCCACGUAUUAGGAAUACUAGUCCCAUUGCCAUAAUUGCAGAGAAGAUUCGUCCAGCGGCGCCGGUGAACGGCGAAGGUGAGAGAAAAAGAAUAAAGUUGGGUUGUUUAUACUUGGUUGAGUAGACUUUUUUUAUGAAAUGAUUUGUACUUCUAUUUAAAAGAAUGUAAAUUUUCAUUACUAUA